CUGACUUCUGACAAGGCCCAGACAUGAGGAAACGGGCGAUCAGAUGCAGCUUGAACUGCUGAGUGCUUCCAAGAUGUUCUGUUUCAUAUCUGCCUCUCCUAGUUUGGUAUGGUUCUCAAAUCAGGGGCCGUGGACAAUUCUGAUCUGAUGGAGAAUGGACGUGAAAGCACAGAGGAACAUCUGGAGAAAUUUCUGAAACGCCUGUCCGCUGCUGUUGUUACCGUGGUCGGGAAUCUUUUCGGAGGGUAGGCCUCAAAAUCCCCGGCCUUGCCUGUUUUUGGCAACCAAGAAGGAGGUUCUUCAUCAAGUUAUGGUAUUGUUACACUGUUUGUAACUAUAUGUAUAAUUAUGUGGUUUUGUCAGUUUUUUCAGUCUUGGUUUGUCCUGUAUUUUGUGAUAUCACACUGGAGGAAAUAAUGUAUCAUUUCUUAAUGCAUACAUUACUAAAUGAUAAUAAAAGGAGACUACGUGUCGUCAUAAUCUAACAUCUAAACUCUUAAUUUUAUUAUACUCAAAAAAACGGACAAAAUAAAGGCCACCAUUGAUUUGAAUUUAGAAAAUACUGAUAUAAUCCCAAAAAUAAUUGCAUUCCUUAACACAAUCUUCACAAAAUACAAUUAAAUCAAUUUUGUUCAGACACAUCAUAAACAUCAUAAACUGCAAACAAAAAGCUAGACGAAUUCUCAAGGUAUAAAGGAAACACAAUGAUGUUAUGAGAAUGAAAUAAGGUGUAAGAGAACUUAUGGAGACAAUUGCACAUUUUUUGUCAUAUGAAAGGGUCUAAAUUACUAUCGUGUUUAAACAAUGUGAGGGUCUUAACAAUUGGACAACACUAUCAGCCAACAAAAUGUUUUAGUUUCCUGAUUACUGCUGGAACUGCAUGCACUCAAGCAAACAAUAUUCCACGACACUGACAUAACUUAGCUACUUUUACCUGGAAAGUGCAGUACUGAAGAAUGCAUAGCUAGCAGAUGCACGGAAUUAGAACCUUGUGUAGUAGCUCCUAUUCAGUAUUUGAAACAGCAGUUGUCAAAUUUACAAGUGCUUCAAGUUCCUAUUAACUUGUGGAAAAGUAGUUUAUUUCCCUCACUUGUUCACAAUGUUUGAUAAAUUCCAAACAAAUUAUAAACCAAUUCUAGAAAUAGCACACAACCACAUUUGAACUCAAAGACUACCAUCAGUCUAGUAGUGUAAAUGCAUGCUUCAGGACAUACUUAUUAGGAUGCGUAUACUCAGCUCCUUUUAAUGUUUACUCAAGUCAACAGAACUAUAUGGAUAAGUCUCCAGGUCCAGACAAGAUAUUCCCUAGGACCUUGAGGGAAGUUAGUGUGGAAAUAGCAGGAGCUCUGACAGAACUAUUUCAAAUGUCAUUAGAAACGGGGAUGGUGCCGGAGGAUUGGCGUAUUGCUCAUGUGGUUCCAUUGUUUAAAAAGGGUUCUAAGAGUAAACUUAGCAAUUAUCGGCCUGUGAGUUUGACGUCAGUGGUGGGUAAAUUGAUGGAAAGUAUUCUUAGAGAUGGUAUAUAUUAUCAUCUGGAUAGACAGGGUCUGAUUAGGAACAGUCAACAUGGAUUUGUGCGUGGAAGGUCAUGUCUACAAAUCUUAUUGAAUUUUUUGAUGAGGUUACUAUGAAAGUUGAUGAGGGUAAAGCAGUGGAUGUUGUCUAUAUGGACAUCAGUAAGGCCUUUGACAAGGUUCCACACGGAAGGUUAGUUAGGAAGGUUCAAUCGUUAGGCAUUAAUAUCAAAGUAGUAAAAUGGAUUCAGCAGUGGCUGGAUGGGAGACGCCAGAGAGUAGUGGUGGAUAACUAUGUGUCAGAUUGGAGGACGGUGUGUAGCGGUGUGCCUUAGGGAUCUGUACUGGGUCCAAUGUUGUUUGUCAUAUAUAUUAACGAUCUGGAUGAUGGGAUGGUAAAUUGGGUUAGUAAGUAUGCAGAUGAUACUAAGAUAGGUGGCGUUGUGGAUAAUGAAGUAAGUUUUCAAAGCUUACAGAGAGAUUUAAGCCAGUUAGAAGAGUGGGCUGAAAGAUGGCAGAUGGAGUUUAAUGCUGAAAAAUGUGAGGUGCUACAUUUUGGUAGGACUAAUCAAAAUAGGACAUACAUGGUAAAUGGUAGAGCACUAAAGAAUGCAGUAGAACAGGGGGAUCUAGGAAUAAUGGUGCGUAGUUCCCUGAAGGUGAAAUCUCAUAUAGAUAGGAUGGUGAAGAAACCUUUUGGUAUGCUGGCCUUUAUUAAUCAGAGCAUUGAGUAUAGGAGUUGGGAUGUAAUGUUGAAAUUGUAUAAGGCAUUGGUAAGGCCAAAUUUGGAGUACUGUGUACAGUUCUGGUCACCAAAUUAUAGGAAAGAUGUCAAUAAAAUUGAGAGUACAGAGCAAGUUCACCAAAAUGUUGCCUGGGUUUCAUCUCCUAAGUUACAGAGAAAGGUUGAACAAGUUAGGUCUUUAUUCUUUGGAGCAUAGAAGGUUGAGAGGGGACUUGAUAGAGGUGUUUAAAAUUAUGAGGGGUAUUGAUAGAGUUGACGUGGAUAGGCUUUUUCCAUUGAGAGUGGGGGAGAUUCAAACAAGAGGACAUGAGUUGAGAGUUAAAGGGCAAAAGUUUAGGGGUAACAUGAGGGGGAACUUCUUUACUCAGAGAGUGGUGGCUGUGUGGAACGAGCUUCCAGCAGUAGUGGUUGAGGCAGGUUCGAUGUUGUCGUUUAAAGUUAAAUGGGAUAGAUAUAUGGACAGAAAGGGCAUGGAGGGUUAUGGACCGAGUGCAGGUCAGUGGGACUUGGUGAGAGUAGGAGUUCAGCACGGACUAGAAGGGCCGAGAUGGCCUGUUUCCAUGCUGUAAUUGUUAUAUGGUUAUAUUUAUUUGUGACCCAAAUUACUGAACGACUAUUAUUCUUUUGUUGGCUCCAAUAUGGACAAUAAUUAGACAUCCUUUAUCAGUUCAAAAGAAUCAUCUCAACUUUGCACCAGGUAAGCAACAAAACUAUACAGAAACAUAGAAAACCUAUAGCACAAUACAGGCCCUUUGGCCCACAAAGUUGUGCCAAACAUGUCCCUACCUAAGAAACCUUAUAGGCUUACCUAUAGCUCUCUAUUUUUCUAAGCUCCAUGUACCUAUCCAAAAGUCUCUUAAAAUACCCUAUCGUAUCCGCCUCCACCACUGUUGCCGGCAGCCCAUUCCACGCACUCACCACCCUGACAUCUCCUCUGUACAUAGUCUCCAGUACCUUAAACCUGUGUCCUCUUGUGGUAACCAUUUCAGCCCUGGGAAAAAGCCUCUGACUAUCCACACGAUCAAUGCCUCUCAUCUUAUACACCUAUAUACUUCUAAUACUUUUGACAAAUCUUACUAUCACCUCAGUUAGUCUCCUAAAAUUACCAAAGUUUCACCUAUCACACCUACUUUCUUUUGAAGAUUAAUGGAACCAAACUGGCACAGAAAAAUGCUCUCCUUAUCCUCAAUACAUUGUUCAGCUGGAUAGGACUAGAUAUCCCACUGCAUUUCCAGUUAUUCUGUGCAUUGCUAGUCAGGCCAACCACAAUCUCACCAAUAAGGUGUGCCCUAGUUCUGGAGUAACUGAUGCCCACGGAUCAGGCCAUAAUCUCUCAGUUGCAACAAAAAUAUCCAAAUAGCAGAGGCAUGGAAUGCCUGAUAGGGUAGUGUUAACUCUCAGCUUUCAAACAGACAGAAGGCAUACACUUGAAAUUUUAUGAAUCUGAGGUCUCUGUCAGUUAGAUUUGACCAUGGAUAUUGCAUCCUAGCUGUCUAUAUAUGCAAAUCCGGGCAGUACAAUAUGGAGAGCAAGCUGUUGCACAUGUAGCAAGCUCCCCCCCCCCCCCCAUGCAUCUGAUGAAAUCAAAGGAACAGCAGAGACUGAUACAGUUUGGUACCAUAAAAGGAAACUCAUCUAGCGGCAGGCCAAGCACAGCCUACUUUGUGCUUUAUUCUAAAUAUUCCUGGACAAUUCUUAGCUACUGCUUAUUUAGGAAAGAAUAAUAAUAAUGUGAAGAUUUAUAACAAUUAAAUUAA